GUCAAUUAUGCGUAUGUGAAUAGGUGCGCAGGCAAAGAGCGGCAAGAGGACAGCUGGGAGGAAAACCCUCACAGAGAGCGUGACAUCUGAGCCAUCUGAAGGAUAAGUAGGACUGUGUCAGGAUUAUCAUGCUGGCUUCAGCAGGUAGAGCUGAUGGGAGGAGGCAAGACAGGAAGGAACUGCAUAGUCCAGUAAAUUGCAACAGAAGGAACAGUGCAUCAGUUCUGAGCCUAGGUGUCCAGAGGCCUUGCAUGCUUUGGCUCUCUCUUUUGGGGCUCUGCCCAGGCACCCAGG
rnacentral:lncRNA from 1 species